rnacentral:rRNA from 1 species
UACGUAGGGGGCUAGCGUUGUCCGGAAUCAUUGGGCGUAAAGAGCGUGUAGGCGGUCCGGUAAGUCCGCUGUGAAAGUCGGGGGCUCAACCCUCGAAUGCCGGUGGAUACUGUCGGGCUAGAGUGCGGAAGAGGCGAGUGGAAUUCCUGGUGUAGCGGUGAAAUGCGCAGAUAUCAGGAGGAACACCCGUAGCGAAGGCGGCACUCUGGGCCUUGACUGACGCUGAGGAGCGAAAGCGUGGGUAGCGAACAGG